UCCAGACUCCUACGGGAGGCAGCAGUGGGGAAUAUUGCACAAUGGGCGCAAGCCUGAUGCAGCCAUGCCGCGUGUAUGAAGAAGGCCUUCGGGUUGUAAAGUACUUUCAGUCGGGAGGAAGGUGGUAAGGUUAAUAACCUUAUCAAUUGACGUUACCGACAGAAGAAGCACCGGCUAACUCCGUGCCAGCAGCCGCGGUAAUACGGAGGGAGCAAGCGUUAAUCGGAAUUACUGGGCGUAAAGCGCACGCAGGCGGUCUGUCAAGUCGGAUGUGAAAUCCCCGGGCUCAACCUGGGAACUGCAUUCGAACCUGGCAGGCUGGAGUCUUGUAGAGGGGGGUAGAAUUCCAGGUGUAGCGGUGAAAUGCGUAGAGAUCUGGAGGAAUUCCGGUGGCGAAGGCGGCCCCCUGGACAAAGACUGACGCUCAGGUGCGAAACCGUGGUGAGCAAACAGGAUUAGAUACCCUGGUAU
rnacentral:rRNA from 1 species